UACGGGGGGGGCAAGCGUUGUCCGGAUUUACUGGGCGUAAAGGGUGCGUAGGCGGGUCUUUAAGUCAGGGGUGAAAUCCUGGAGCUCAACUCCAGAACUGCCUUUGAUACUGAAGAUCUUGAGUUCGGGAGAGGUGAGUGGAACUGCGAGUGUAGAGGUGAAAUUCGUAGAUAUUCACAAGAACACCAGUGGCGAAGGCGGCUCACUGGCCCGAUACUGACGCUGAGGCACGAAAGCGUGGGGAGCAAACAGG
rnacentral:rRNA from 1 species